AACGAACGCUGGCGGCAUGCCUAACACAUGCAAGUCGAACGAGACCUUCGGGUCUAGUGGCGCACGGGUGCGUAACGCGUGGGAACCUGCCCUUAGGUUCGGAAUAACUCCCCGAAAGGGGUGCUAAUACCGGAUAAUGUCUUCGGACCAAAGAUUUAUCGCCUUUGGAUGGGCCCGCGUUGGAUUAGCUAGUUGGUAGGGUAAAAGCCUACCAAGGCGACGUUCCAUAGCUGGUCUGAGAGGAUGAUCAGCCACACUGGGACUGAGACACGGCCCAGACUCCUACGGGAGGCAGCAGUGGGGAAUAUUGGACAAUGGGGGAAAGCCUGAUACAGCCAUGCCGGGUGAGUGAUGAAGGCCUUAGGGUUGUAAAGCUCUUUUACCCGGGAUGAUAAUGACGGUACCGGGAGAAGAAGCACCGGCUAACUCCGUG
rnacentral:rRNA from 1 species